rfam:Lutibacter sp. LPB0138, complete genome.
UAUCUUUGCAGCUUGAUUCGAAGUAAUCACAUACAUAAAAAUUAUUAAAAAUUAAUGUUAGCAUG